AGUGAACGCUGGCGGUAGGCCUAACACAUGCAAGUCGAACGGCAGCACAGUAAGAGCUUGCUCUUACGGGUGGCGAGUGGCGGACGGGUGAGGAAUACAUCGGAAUCUACUUUUUCGUGGGGGAUAACGUAGGGAAACUUACGCUAAUACCGCAUACGACCUACGGGUGAAAGCAGGGGAUCUUCGGACCUUGCGCGAUUGAAUGAGCCGAUGUCGGAUUAGCUAGUUGGCGGGGUAAAGGCCCACCAAGGCGACGAUCCGUAGCUGGUCUGAGAGGAUGAUCGGCGACACUGGAACUGAGACACGGUCCAGACUCCUACGGGAGGCAGCAGUGGGGAAUAUUGGACAAUGGGCACAAGCCUGAUCCAGCCAUACCGCGUGGGUGAAGAAGGCCUUCGGGUUGUAAAGCCCUUUUGUUGGGAAAGAAAAGCAGCAGGUUAAUACCCCGCUGUUCUGACGGUACCCAAAGAAUAGGCACCGGCUAACUUCGUG
rnacentral:rRNA from 1 species